rnacentral:rRNA from 1 species
GACAGAGGAUGCAAGCGUUAUCCGGAAUGAUUGGGCGUAAAGCGUCUGUAGGUGGCUUUUUAAGUCCGCCGUCAAAUCCCAGGGCUCAACCCUGGACAGGCGGUGGAAACUACCAAGCUGGAGUACGGUAGGGGCAGAGGGAAUUUCCAGUGGAGCGGUGAAAUGCGCAGAUAUCAGGAGGAACACCGAUGGCGAAGGCAGGUCUCUGGGCAUUAACUGACGCUGAGGAGCGAAAGCAUGGGGAGCGAACAGG